AUCAUCUUUGAUGCAGAAAGGAUUGCUCUUUCAAAAUCAAUGCAUUUGUUUGUACCAAGCUUAAAAAGGUUUUUUAGGCAAGCUUAAGAGGGGUUGCCUGAAUGUACUGAAACGAUCUGAACAUCAAACUCUUUUUUUUGCUUGCUUGGUAGUACAAUCUGCACUACUUAACAAAUCUUCUCAUUUCUUGAGUUAUAGUCACAUCUUUUGAGAAAUCUUGUCAGAUGAAGAGAUGAUGGUCUUUACAGAAUUUGAAUCACGGGAGAGUGAUAAAUAGAGGGAUGCUUAAUUUUGAGGAACCAAUGUGCUCCUGGUCUGAUCCAUAUUUCUGAAGGUCUUUUUUGGGUGGUCAUUCAGGGGCUGGACUUCUCCUUCAGGUUAAUGGUAUUCUUUCUCACAUGAAGCAUAGGAUUAUAACUACUGGGAAGCACAUGAUGUUGUUCAUGAAUUCGACAGUAAUUUUGGUGAGGAUGUGAAAUCCCUCCUUCUGCUCCUUCCAAUCUUUCAAAUUGAUUUAUUCAUUGUUGUAGCUUUCCUUGAUCUUCUAUUCAUUCCGAUCAAAUUUCUCACCGCUUCUCCUAAUGGUCCACCCAAUUAAUAAGAGAAAAUAGGGAGAAGAAAAAUGUAUGACACAAGAAGAGAUACCUCUAGAAGCAGUGGAAACAGGUCUGCCUUGUAUCUCUUUCAUGACGGAUCUUGAAACUUGUACUGACAAGAGAACGGAGGAAGUGAAGAAAAACACUUCACAUGACAUCAUGAUAAGCUCUAUUCUGUUGUAAACAUGUUUGUAGUACCAUUUAUCAUCAAUCAUUUAAAGUGUCAUUAAGAGUAAAAUGACAUUCUCUAUGUGCUCUAGGUAAACUUUGAGUGGAUACAAAAUUCCUGUUUUUUUUUGUAUUUGGUCAAGCAGAAUAAUGUAUGAGAAAAUAAAGCUCUUUCAUGUAUUCGUGUUAUAUGUGGGAAUAUUAUUACUGGUUUUGCUACCAUAA